UUUAGCUAAUUGAAGACAAGUUAUAAAGAAGCUCAACAGAGCAGCAAGCAAGAGUUUGAAUGAUGAUCAUCUUUUGUUCCAAAGCACAAGACGUGUAAGACUCUUCUACUUAGAUGAUAAUUUUAUAUAGACUUUACCUUGUCUUCCAUUGAGUACGCUUUUGCAUAAUAUUAAACUUUGGCUCGAAUCCUCCUGCAGCAAACCUGCUGUUGUCUUUAGUUAAUCAUCACAAGUGAGACUUGCAUGACUCUGACGAGAAAAUACUGAACACGUUUUCCUCAAUGGUGGACAAUCUUCUUUCGAGACAGCCCGGCAUCUGCUUGCUGAACCAUCUCUUUGCAUGUUUUCCCACUUUCCCCAGCUCUGCUCCUACCCUGCUCACACAUGCCAACAAGUACAGAUG